UACGGAGGGUGCAAGCGUUAUCCGGAUUCACUGGGUUUAAAGGGAGCGUAGGUGGGUUGGUAAGUCAGUGGUGAAAUCCCCGAGCUUAACUUGGGAACUGCCAUUGAUACUAUAGUCUUGAAUAUUGUGGAGGUUAGCGGAAUAUGUCAUGUAGCGGUGAAAUGCUUAGAGAUGACAUAGAACACCAAUUGCGAAAGGCAGCUGGCUACACAUAUAUUGACACUGAGGCUCGAAAGCGUGGGGAUCAAACAGG
rnacentral:rRNA from 1 species